CUAGAAAAAACGCCCCAUGGACCGAACGGGGUUUGGUGUUCCUGUCCCUGAGCGCGAGGACGGAUCAAUCGUGCACAGGUUGAGCUGAUUGGCUGGUGGAUUCGACUAGAGCGCUUCAUUCGCUCCAAGCAUCUGGUAGAGCAGGGCCAUGCGCGCUGAUGAAGUGCUCGAAAAUCGGGCGCAUCACGCUGACGCAGAGCGGAGUGCGUGCCAACACCGUACGCGCAACAAUAUCCUACGCGUCGGGCGGACGCAAAGCUUCGUGCGCGGCAAACCCGUACAUCAGAGACAUUCGAGGUUGAAUUAGGAGUUUUGAAUCUAUUUUCAACCUUAUCAACAGCUAUUAAAAUGAGUUAUUGCGUUGAUUGUUUUAAUUAUUUGUUAUAAAAAAACUGAAAUACA